rnacentral:rRNA from 1 species
GAGUUUGAUCGUGGCUCAGAUUGAACGCUGGCGGAAUGCUUUACACAUGCAAGUCGAGCGGCAGCGCGGGGCAACCUGGCGGCGAGCGGCGAACGGGUGAGUAAUGCAUCGGAACAUGUCCAUGUCGUGGGGGAUAGCCCGGCGAAAGCCGGAUUAAUACCGCAUACGCCCGAGAGGGGAAAGUGGGGGACCGCAAGGCCUCACGCGAUUGGGUUGGCCGAUGUCCGAUUAGCUAGUUGGCGGGGUAAGAGCCCACCAAGGCGAUGAUCGGUAGCUGGUCUGAGAGGAUGAUCAGCCACACUGGGACUGAGACACGGCCCAGACUCCUACGGGAGGCAGCAGUGGGGAAUUUUGGACAAUGGGGGCAACCCUGAUCCAGCCAUUCCGCGUGAGUGAAGAAGGCCUUCGGUUGUAAG